CGCACAGCCGCAGAGCUGCAAAGAUCAACUGUUGGGUCCUUCACAGAACACAUGAUGGCCAGAGUCAACGUGAGAAACCCCCAGUCUCCAGGUAAUCACUGGUGGCAAUAUGGCGCCUUGACAAUCUCUUCUGUACGGGAAAUACACCAAGAGACCACCCCAUCCCCGGAAGGUCUAAAUAUCUGACAAAGAGCAGAGACUUCUCAUCCAAUCUCCAGGCUCAUUCAUUUUUACAUAUACCUCAACGUGCACAGAAAAGAAAACUUUAACAAGGCUUUGGCAUCUUUUAAAUAACUCAAUAAAGACAGGUAAACCCAGAAUCCAAAACAACACUUUCACUGCAAUAGAACAUUUCCUUUUUAAAGCACAUAAUUGCACCUGGUGUG
rnacentral:lncRNA from 1 species